GACAGAGGGUGCGAACGUUGUUCGGAAUUACUGGGCGUAAAGGGCGCGUAGGCGGCCUGCUAAGUCGAACGUGAAAUCCCUGGGCUCAACCCAGGAACUGCGUCCGAUACUGGUUGGCUUGAAUCCGGGAGAGGGAUGCGGAAUUCCAGGUGUAGCGGUGAAAUGCGUAGAUAUCUGGAGGAACACCGGUGGCGAAGGCGGCAUCCUGGACCGGCAUUGACGCUGAGGCGCGAAAGCCAGGGGAGCAAACGGG
rnacentral:rRNA from 1 species